CUUGAACAUUCUACCUGCUCUUGGAUGUAACUCAGAAGACUCCAAAAGGAAAGUGUGGUUUUGUGGAGCAUUGAGAGCAAGACUUGUAAAUAAUUUUUUUUGUUCCAUUAACUGGGAUGAUGAGAGACACAAUCACUCAGACCCAGGAAAUGAAUGAAGAGGUGUGAUCCAUCUUUUAGCAAAAACGGUUUUUUUUGCCUUUG